UACGUAGGGGGCGAGCGUUGUCCGGAUUCAUUGGGCGUAAAGAGCUCGUAGGCGGUUUGGCAAGUCAGGUGUGAAAUCUCCGGGCUCAACUCGGAGAGGCCACCUGAUACUGCUAUGACUAGAGUCCGGUAGGGGACCAUGGAAUUCCUGGUGUAGCGGUGAAAUGCGCAGAUAUCAGGAGGAACACCGGUGGCGAAGGCGGUGGUCUGGGCCGGUAACUGACGCUGGAGGAGCGAAAGCGUGGGGAGCGAACAGG
rnacentral:rRNA from 1 species